rnacentral:rRNA from 1 species
CAGUAGCCGCGGUAAUACAGAGGGUGCAAGCGUUAAUCGGAAUUACUGGGCGUAAAGCGCGCGUAGGUGGUUUGUUAAGUUGGAUGUGAAAGCCCCGGGCUCAACCUGGGAACUGCAUCCAAAACUGGCAAGCUAGAGUACGGUAGAGGGUGGUGGAAUUUCCUGUGUAGCGGUGAAAUGCGUAGAUAUAGGAAGGAACACCAGUGGCGAAGGCGACCACCUGGACUGAUACUGACACUGAGGUGCGAAAGCGUGGGGAGCAAACAGGAUUAGAUACCCCAGUAGUCCCUGUCUCUUAUAA